rnacentral:tRNA from 1 species
GGUAAAAUGGCUGAUUAAAGGCAAUAAAUUGUAAAUUUAUUAAUGAGUUAUUCUCUUUUACCA